AGCUCCAAUAGCGUAUAUUAAAGUUGUUGCAGUUAAAAAGCUCGUAGUUGAAUGUCUGGCCAUUGCUUGUCUUGGCUUCGGUCGGGCAAGCAGUGGCCAUCCGCACAUGAAACCAGUUCGGCCUUCACUGGCUCGGCUGGGGGAGUGUGCACUUUACUUUGAAAAAAUUAGAGUGUUUCAGGCAGGCAAUGGCUUGGAUACAUUAGCAUGGAAUAAUGGAAUAGGACUUGAGUCCAUUUUGUUGGUUAUUGGACUUUAGUAAUGAUUAAUAGGGACAGUUGGGGGCAUUAGUAUUUAAUUGUCAGAGGUGAAAUUCUUGGAUUUAUUAAAGACUAACUUAUGCGAAAGCAUUUGCCAAGGAUGUUUUCA
rnacentral:rRNA from 1 species